AUAUGGAUUAAAAACAAAUAUUAAUUAACGAUAUAUUAAAAUGAAAGAAAGUUAGUGAAUUUUCUCAAAAGUGAAAAACAUAGAAUUAUACAGUUACACAUGCAACAUAAAAAAAAUUAAAACAAUAUAGGUUUAGGUUGUAAUUUGUUGAAAAAGAUUAUGUUUGGAUCUUCUAUGACUAUGAGCACAUAAAUUGUGCUUAGCACCAAAAGUCAGUAAAAUUUGCUUAAAAAAGUAUUUCAAAAAUAGCAAAAUGAUACUUAAAUCUAUUUAAUUGCAUAAAUCCAAUAAAAAGGGUUAAAGAAAUUAACAUCCUAAGUUAAAUAUAUGCUUAAAAGGUAAGCGUAAAUGGUAAUGAUAAUUAUUGAUAAGUUGUCUUUCUUCGUUCCACCAGCUUAAAUUAACUUAGGUCAUGUUUGUCUUCACAUAGCUAGGAAAGACAUAAGUCCUCAUCGGUGAUCUCAACUUAACAGACUUGACUUAGAAAUAGACGUUGCCAUCGCUUUCGAUCAUUUGCUAAUCAUGUGGCAGAACCAAAUUAAGGAGAAUAUGUAGCCUAGGACAUUAAUUAUUCAAUAUGGUUGAGAGGUAGAUGGACAAAUUCAAUAUCAUAGGACACAGGGGAUGCAUCAAACUGACACUUUUUGGGAUCAAUGAAUCCUCAAUUGGUUUUUCGAUUUCUGUAGCAGUAAAGUGCGAUAAGAAUUAAUUUGUCAAUCUUCAUAUUUUCAUAAAUAAAUUUGAUUAUUUAUUCUUAUAUUAUGAUUUGUUUGUCAAUGAAACAAUAUAAGAAUGCAUCAAACAGUGUUGAAAGUCGUAGGUUUUAAUGGUGCACUCCUAUCAUACUGCAAUUAGCUAGGUUCUUAACUAGUCUCUGACAUUUUUCAACACAUUUGCUUGGACAGUUGGGCAAUAAACCAAUGGGUUUUGAUGUAAAAAACCAAUGACAACAACUUGAAGUAGGUUUACUCUUCACAUGCAUGUGGUCGAUGUUGUAUUAUUGAUUAUAUCAAAUGCUAUUACAAUUUUCUAUAAGUUUUCCUUUGCGUAUUGGCAGAAGAAUAAUCAAGAAGGGUUCUCAGUUAUGAACUUUGCAAGUACAUAUGAUGCGUGUUCCCUAAUCCUUGAUUACAGACAUUUCCCCUCAAAUUGUUCAUCCAAAAUGAAUUAUUUGCUCCUUCUUUUUUUGAGUUGAAAGAGACAUAAGUUCAACGUUGACUUAUUUCCUCUACAUGUAUUCACAUCACAUACGUGAUAAAUGAAUUGUAGUACUUACACAAUUUUUUUAUAAUAUUAUUUUUAUUUUUUUCUAUUACAUACAUUAACUAUAUUAUCACACGUCCCAAUCUCGCUCUUUUCUUUCCUG
rnacentral:lncRNA from 1 species